AAAAUUGAAAACAACCUGGAAGUCCAGUGAUGGGAAAAUGAGUAUGUUUCUGUCUUAGAUUGGGGAACCCAAAGCAGAUUGCAAGACUGAAAUUUCAGUGAAAGCAGUGUAUUUGCUAGGUCAUACCAGAAAUCAUCAAUUGAGGUACGGAGAAACUGAACUGAGAAGGUAAGAAAAGCAAUUUAAAGUCAGCGAGCAGGUUCUCAUUGAUAACAAGCUCCAUACUGCUGAGAUACAGGGAAAUGGAGGGGGGAAAGCUGGAGUAUUGAUCCCGCCCCCCUCCUUGGUUGUCAGCUCCCUGUCCUGUGUGUGGGCGGAACAUAGUCCAGCUGCUCUAUAGCAAGUCUCAGGUGUUUGCAGUAAGAAGCUGCUGGCAUGCACGGGAACAGUGAAUGCCAAACACUUAAAGCAAUUCGAUGUUUAAGUAUGUAAGUUCUUUUUUUUUUAGACAGCGUUUCGCUCUUGUUGCCCAGGCUAGCAUGCAAUGGUGUGACCUCGGCUUACUGCAACCUCCGCCUUCCCAGAUUCAAGCGAUUCUCCUGCCUCAGGCUCCCAAGUAGCUGGGACCGGGUGCGCGCCACCACGCCCGGCUAAUUUUUGUAUUUUGUAUUUUUGGUAGAGAUGGGGUUUCGCCAUGUUGGUCAGGCUAGUCUCGAACUCGUGACCGCAAGCGAUUCACCCACCUCAGCCUCCCAAAGUGCUGGGAUUACCGGCUUGAGCCACCACACCCGGCACAUCUUCAUUCUUUUUAUGUAGUAAAAAGUAUAAGGCCACACAUGGUUUAUUUGAAGUAUUUUACAAUUUAAAAAAAUACAGAAGCAGGAAAACCAAUUAUAAGUUCAAGUGAGGGAUGAUGGUUGCUUGAACCAAAGGGUUGCAUGUAGUAAGAAAUUGUGAUUUAAGAUAUAUUUUAAAGUUAUAAGUAGCAGGAUAUUCUGAUGGAGUUUGACUUUGGUUUUGGGCCCACGGAGUUUCAGAUGCCUUUGAGAAAUGAAUGAAGUAGAGAGAAAAUAAAAGAAAAACUAGCCAGGCACAGUGGCUCACGCCUGUAAUCCCAGCGCUUUGGGAGGCUAAGGCAGGCAGAUCACUUGAGACCAGCUUGGGCAACAUGGCGAAGCCCCAUCUCUACAAAAAACACAGAAAUUAGCUGGGCAUUGUGGCGCACACCUGUAUUCCCAUCUACUCAGGAAGCUGAGAUGGAAGAAUUAAUUGAGCCCACGAGUUCAAGGCUGCAGUGAGUCGUGAUUGUGCCACUGCACUCCAGCCGGGGUGACAGAAGAGACCUUGUCUCGAAAAGGAAUCUGAAAACAAUGGAACCAUGCCUUCAUAAUUCUAGAAAGUUAUUUUCAACUGAUAAAUCUAUAUUCACCCAAAUAAUCAAGGGUGAAGGUAAAAUAAUACAUUUUUAGACAAGCAAAGACUCAGGGGUUACCUCCAUGUGCCCUUUUUAGGGAAGCUGUUGGAGAAAAUACUCCAGCAAAAUGAAGGAGUACACAAACCAGAGAAUGACAUGAAUCCAGCAAAUAGGAUCCAACACAGGCAAUAUUCCAGCUAUGGAGCUAGCUUUAAAAAGGAACAGUAAAAAUAUUAAUCGGUUAGCUGGGUGGAAUGGCCCAUGCCUGUAGUCCCAGCUACUCGGGAGGCUCAGCAGCAGGACGACUUGAGCCCAAGAGUUCCAGACCAGCCUGGCCACCUUAGUGAGAUCCCUUCUCUUAAAAAUAAUAACUUAUUGCCAGAUUUGGGGCAUUUGGAAAGAAGUUCAUUGAAGAUAAAGCAAAAGUAAAAAAAAAAAAAAAAAAAAAACAAGGGGAAAGGGUUGGUUAGGCAAUCAUUCUAGGGCAGAAAGAAGUACAGGAUAGGAAGAGCAUAAUACACUGUUUUUCUCAACAAGGAGCAGUAUGUACACAGUCAUAAUGAUGUGACUGCUUAGCCCCUAAAUAUGGUAACUACUCUGGGACAAUAUGGGAGGAAAAGUGAAGAUUGUGAUGGUGUAAGAGCUAAAUCCUCAUCUGUCAUAUCCAGAAAUCACUAUAUAAUACAUAAUAAUGAAAUGACUAAGUUAUGUGAGGAAAAAAACAGAAGACAUUGCUAAAAGAGUUAAAAGUCAUUGCUCUGGAGAAUUAGGAGGGAUGGGGCAGGGGACUGUUAGGAUGCAUUAUAAACUGAAAAGCCUUUUUAAAAUUUUAUGUAUUAAUAUAUGCAUUCACUUGAAAAACUAAAAAAAAACAAUAAUUUGGAAAAACCCAUGAAGGUAACUAACGGAAGGAAAAACUAAGAGAAUGAAAAGUAUUUGCCUCUGGAAAGAACAACUGGCAGGACUGUUGUUUUCAUUGUAAGACUUUUGGAGCCAUUUAAUUGUACUUAACCAUUUUCAUCUAUUUCUUUAAUAAGAACAAUUCCAUCUUAAUAAAGAGUUACACUUGUUAAUAAAAAAA
rnacentral:lncRNA from 1 species